CAAAUAUAAUGUCAAAAAUGGGUUUUCGCCAAGCAACCAUCCUAGUCUCAUCAUGCAUUCUCGUAAUGGUGGAGCUUGUACAGCAGGACCUUUCCACCUGCAUGUCCGACGGACAGGAAGCCGCUGCCGGGGCUGAAAUCCAGGCACCGUGGAUAGUGGAGACUAAACCGAGGCCCCGGCCAGUUCUGGAACACGCUGAACGACGGGACGUGCACGAGCCUCAUGCCGUUCCUCUCUUUCCUCGAGCUGAUCGCCAGGAUCUGGGCGUCAUGGUUGAACUUCAUCUCACCGAUAUCAGUGGUCAGGUUCUCGAUAGUCUUCAUCGGCUUCCUCUUCCCGCCGAGAAAAUCGUCCCUCUUGUACACAUUCACGAUGCCGCUGCUGGAGCCUGUGGCAAACAAAGAGCUAUCCCGCGAGGUGCAGAGCGAGAGGCCAGCCAGGGAACCGUCAUCUGUUGCCUUGUGGAUGCAUUUCCUUGUUCCAAGGUCCCAGUGGUAAACAUGGCCAUCUCCACCGCUGCUCAGUAGCUGGUUCCCACCAUCCGCAAAAGCCAGUGAACGCACGCUUCCGUUCAUCUUGAGGGUUGUGAUGAGCUGCUUUGUCUUGGCAGAAAUAAGAAGGAUGUACCCUUCAUUGCCA
rnacentral:misc_RNA from 1 species